AUGGCUGGCACACGUGCCAAGGUUCAGAUCACAGUGGACAGACUGGAGAUUGAAGUAUCUGAACUACGGGCUGAGCUCUCUGAUUUGAAGGAAUUACGCUCGGAAGUGCAACAGUUAAGAUCAGAGAUGGUGACCAUGCCACGAGUGGAAACCAAGCUGGCGGAUAUGGACGCAGAGAUACAGAAAACACUGCAACUCAUACUGCAAAACAUGUCUAUGGUAAUCAGAAAACUGAAAUGGCCACAUCCAGCGCUCCACCACCAGUGUGUACCGGCUCUCCCCAGUUCAAUAUACCACCAAGGGUCUCUAUUCCAGAUCAGACAGCAUUUUCACAGCCACAAACCAAGAGAAACCUGA
rnacentral:rRNA from 1 species